UUCCCGGUGGUCCAGUGGUUAAGACUCUGCGCUUCCAAGGCAGGGGCACAGGUUCAAUCCCUGAUCAGGAAA
rnacentral:tRNA from 1 species